AACAAAGGGAAUAUAGGCUAUAUCCACCUGAAGAACACAAAAUUUAACCAAAGUCAAGCAGAAUGCUCAAAAAUAAUGUGUUAUGCAAUAGUUUAACUGUGACACUCAUUUCCAAAUUGCAAACUAAAAGAUCAAUAAUUAAUAUGUUAGAUAGGAAAAAAUAUCAACAUAAAAUUGAGAAUGAAACUUACCAAACUGAAUUGGCCAAGC
rnacentral:misc_RNA from 1 species